CAAUCUGCCCUUCACUCUGGGACAAGCCCUGGAAACGGGGUCUAAUACCGGAUACCACUCCUGCCUGCAUGGGCGGGGGUUGAAAGCUCCGGCGGUGAAGGAUGAGCCCGCGGCCUAUCAGCUUGUUGGUGGGGGAAUGGCCCACCAAGGCGACGACGGGUAGCCGGCCUGAGAGGGCGACCGGCCACACUGGGACUGAGACACGGCCCAGACUCCUACGGGAGGCAGCAGUGGGGAAUAUUGCACAAUGGGCGAAAGCCUGAUGCAGCGACGCCGCGUGAGGGAUGACGGCCUUCGGGUUGUAAACCUCUUUCAGCAGGGAAGAAGCGAAAGUGACGGUACCUGCAGAAGAAGCGCCGGCUAACUACGUGCCAGCAGCCGCGGUAAUACGUAGGGCGCAAGCGUUGUCCGGAAUUAUUGGGCGUAAAGAGCUCGUAGGCGGCUUGUCACGUCUGUUGUGAAAGCCCGAGGCUUAACCCUCGGGUCUGCAUUCGAUACGG
rnacentral:rRNA from 2 species